rnacentral:lncRNA from 1 species
CGGCAGUUGUAGCAGUUGGCCGUUGGACGAGCUGCAACUACAGCACCUGAAGCAGCGCUGUGCGGCCCUACCGGCCCUUCAGGUAGGUGUCUGACUCAGCGUUGACUGUCUGGUGUGUUCACAACAUGUUCUUUGUCACUCCACCUCCUCCUCCUCCUCCUGGCUUUUUCACCACAGGUUCUGGAGAUGGUGGGUUUGUCGACAAGUCAGGUGGAUGAGGUUUUCGUCACCCUGCUAGCAAGACCGACCCUGAUUUCAAAGGUAUGUACGGCAAAUAUACGGCACAGUUAACUUGGGACGUAAGCAAGGGUGGAGAGGGUUUUAGUCCU